AUGAUCCUGUGGCUAAACCUGGUGUCCUUAGUAGUAGUCCUCAGAGGUGCCCAGUCUGAGGUCCAGUUGGUGGAGUCCGGUGGGGAUGUGAGAAGGCCUGGAGAGUCCCUCCCUCUCUCCUGCCAAGCCUCCGGAUUCACCUUCAGCAGCUAUACUAUGCACUGGGUGAGACAAGCUCCAGGGAAAGGCCUGGAAUGGGUUGCAAGGAUCGAUACAUCUGCCACUUACUACUCAGAUAAAGUCAAGGGACGCUUCACCAUCUCCAGGGACAACUCCAAAAGCCAAGUCUAUCUGCAAAUGAACAGCCUGAAGCCAGAGGACUCGGCAGUCUAUUACUGUGCAAGACACACAGUGAGAGGAAGUGAAUCUGAAGCCUGGCAAAAACUCUCUCUUCCUCUGAGCAGCUCCCCAAGUGCCCAGUCUGAGGGCCAGUUGGUGGAGUCCGGUGGGGAUGUGAGGAGGCCUGGAGAGUCCCUCCAUCUCUCCUGCCAAGCCUCUGGAUUCGACUUCGGCAGCUCUGACAUGGACUGGGUGAGACAGGCACCUGGAAAAGGACUGGAAUGGGUGGCUUACAUAAGCUACACUUCAGGUACCAUUUCCUACUUGGACAAAGUGAAGGGACGCUUCACCACCUCCAGGGACAACUCCAAAAGCCAACUCUAUCUGCAAAUGAACAGCCUGAAGCCGGAGGACUCGGCAGUCUAUUACUGUGCG